rnacentral:rRNA from 1 species
UACGGGAGCAGCAGGGGGAAUAUUGCACAAUGGGCGCAAGCCUGAUGCAGCCAUGCCGCGUGUAUGAAGAAGGCCUUCGGGUUGUAAAGUACUUUCAGUCGUGAGGAAGGUGUUAAGGUUAAUAACCUUAGCAAUUGACGUUAGCGACAGAAGAAGCACCGGCUAACUCCGUGCCAGCAGCCGCGGUAAUACGGAGGGUGCGAGCGUUAAUCGGAAUUACUGGGCGUAAAGGGCACGCAGGCGGUUAAUUAAGUUGGAUGUGAAAUCCCCGGGCUUAACCUGGGAAUGGCAUUCAAGACUGGUUAGCUAGAGUCUUGUAGAGGGGGUAGAAUUCCAUGUGUAGCGGUGAAAUGCGUAGAGAUGUGGAGGAAUACCGGUGGCGAAGGCGGCCCCUGGACAAAGACUGACGCUCAUGUGCGAAAGCGUGGGGAGCAAAC